UUCCACACCCCCGUCCUCCCCCAUCCCGUCCCGUCGCACCACGUCCCCCGUCUCUCGCUUCUCCCCGGCCAAACGCCGCCGCCACCUCCGCCAAGCCUACCACGCCCCCAUUCCCUCCCCGCCCGCCGCCUGCAGGUUCUCCUCCCCGCUCGCCGCUGCCUCCUCGCUCCUCACUGCCCCGCGGUCGCCCCCCCCUGGCUCCUUGCCGCCCGCCUCGAAAGACGGUUAGGCGCAGCGGCAAGCAGGCCUCGUCGGUCUUGGCGACGACCGCAACGGUCUCGAUACUUGGGAGGCGGUGGAGGGCGACCUACUCAGACAGCGAGAGCAGGACGUUGUGGCUGGCACUGGCCUCCGUCGCGGAGGGCGGGGAGCAGGAGCGGGAGCGCGGCGGAGACCUUGGUGACGACGACGCUGCAGGAGUGUGGAGAAUCAAGGCGCUAGAGGAUUCCGGUGGGCGGAUGGAUUAGGACAGCGAUGGUCGAUGGAGAACAUGGGCGUUGCUGUCCGAGCACAUCUCAAGGGAUGGAAGUUUGUAUACUUGAAUGAUGUUGAGGUGCUGGUACAAAAUUCCCUCUGGCUUAUGCACAAUAUGCGUUGCAUAGAGAUUAAAGAGUAACCAUUUAGUUUGUGUGACUUCCUUUCAGUCUCAAUGUGGUGGACAUGUAAAAUCACUUGCCAGUCACUUAAAGCAUACAUAAAGUAGCAGCACCGGUGACACUCAGGUCCCAUGUAACUAUUUAGACUCUGCUUUGUGGACAUUGUAAAAUCUAAGUGUGCAUGCCUUUUCCUAUAGGCACAUGUAACAUAUGAAGUUUGUUGUCUUUUUUUGUCACAUUGGAUCAAGUUGUAAUCUCUACUACUCCCUCGAUCCAAAUAAGGGUCUCAUAUUUAGUAAACUUUGCACUAAAUCUUGGACUUAUUAUGGAUCGGAUGGAGUACUUCUUAAUUCAUAUGCUUCUCUUC